rnacentral:rRNA from 1 species
CCCUUAGACGUUCUGGGCCGCACGCGCGCUACACUGACGAAGGCAACGAGCUUUCCUUUACCGAAAGGUACGGGUAAUCUUUUGAAACUUCGUCGCGCUGGGGAUAGAUCCUUGCAAUUAUUGAUCUUAAACGAGGAAUUCCUAGUAAGCGCAAGUCAUCAACUUGCGUUGAUUACGUCCCUGCCCUUUGUACACACCGCCCGUCGCUACUACCGAUUGAAUGGUUUAGUGAGGCCUUCGGAUCCGCGACUCGUUUUGUGGAGAAGUUGGACAAACUCAGUCAUUUAGAGGAAGUAAAAGUCGUAACA